rnacentral:rRNA from 1 species
CCUACGGGGGGCAGCAGUGAGGAAUAUUGGUCAAUGGCCGUAAGGCUGAACCAGCCAAGUCGCGUGAAGGAAGAAGGAUCUAUGGUUUGUAAACUUCUUUUAUAGGGGAAUAAAGGUAUCCACGUGUGGCUAUUUGCAUGUACCCUAUGAAUAAGCAUCGGCUAACUCCGUGCCAGCAGCCGCGGUAAUACGGAGGAUGCGAGCGUUAUCCGGAUUUAUUGGGUUUAAAGGGUGCGUAGGUUGUUUUUUAAGUCAGCGGUGAAAGUUUGUGGCUCAACCAAAAAAAUGCCGUUGAAACUGGAAGUCUUGAGUGCGGUUGAGGUAGGCGGAAUGCGUGGUGUAGCGGUGAAAUGCGUAGAUAUCACGAAGAACACCGAUUGCGAAGGCAGCUUACUAAGCCAUAACUGACGCUGAGGCACGAAAGCGUGGGGAGCAAACAGGAUUAGAUACCCUUGUAGUC